UACGAAGGGGGCUAGCGUUGUUCGGAAUUACUGGGCGUAAAGGGCGCGUAGGCGGCCCUGUCAGUCAGAAGUGAAAGCCCCGGGCUCAACCUGGGAACCGCUUUUGAUACUGCAGGGCUUGAGUUUCGGAGAGGAUGGUGGAAUUCCCAGUGUAGAGGUGAAAUUCGUAGAUAUUGGGAAGAACACCGGUGGCGAAGGCGGCCAUCUGGACGACAUCUGACGCUGAGGCGCGAAAGCGUGGGGAGCAAACAGG
rnacentral:rRNA from 1 species